CUUCCUCUCCCUUCGGACCUUUGAGUGGAAGCUAAUAGUUCUUCACUGCUCAUAUUGAUUAGAGCGUCGAUUAUGUGAAUUGUUUGGUCGCAUUUACGCCACACAGAAGCAGAUAUCAGUCCGCCAGAAAGCUGAGACCUGUGUAUGUGUGUUUCGUAUUUCCAACACAGGACUUUUGAGUGGAAGGAGCAGAUAUCAGUCCGCCAGAAAUCUGAGACCUGUGUAUGUGUGUGUUCGUGUUUCCAACACAGGAUGUAGAAUGGUGAAUUCUCGCUGUCAAUAUACUCCUCCCCUCUUAACCACACUACACCCCCCACUCCCCACCCCACCUCCCGAAUUCGGAGGUCUCAAGGUUGGCAAGUAUGCUUUAAAUAGACCCCCCUUUUUAGACCAGUUGAUCUGCCGUUUCUUUUCUUUUCCCCUCUGCCCCCCUCUCUCUUGUGGAGGGGGAAUUACACAGGUCCGGUGGCCAUGGAUGAAGUGCUGGCUGUCCAGAGUCGGGACCCGGGGUGGACCGCUCGCCUGUGCAUCGGUUGGGGACAUCUCUGCGCUGCUGACCCGUCUCCGCUCGGGAUGGUUUCCUACUGGCCCCACUAUGGACUGGACUCUCACGAUUAUGUUGGAUCCACUGUGGACUGGACUUUCGCUGAUAUGUUGGAUCCACUAUGGACUGGACUCUCACAAUAUCAGGU